UACGUAGGGGGCAAGCGUUGUCCGGAUUUAUUGGGCGUAAAGAGCUCGUAGGCGGCUUAGUAAGUCGGAUGUGAAAACUCGGGGCUCAACCCCCGAGACGCCAUCCGAUACUGCUGUGGCUUGAGUCUGGGUAGGGGGAACACGGAAUUCCAUGGUGUAGCGGUGAAAUGCGCAGAUAUCGGGGAGGAACACCAGUGGCGAAGGCGGCACUCUGGGCCAGUACUGACACUGAGGAGCGAAAGCGAUGGGGAGCGAACGAG
rnacentral:rRNA from 1 species